rnacentral:rRNA from 1 species
CUGGAAUUGCUAGUAAUCGCGGAUCAGCAAGCCGCGGUGAAUACGUUCCCGGGCCUUGUACACACCGCCCGUCACACCAUGAGAGUCGGGAACACCCGAAGUCCGUAGUCUAACCGCAAGGGGGGCGCGGCCGAAGGUGGGUCCGGUAAUUGGGGUGAAGUCGUAACAAGGUAGC